UACGUAGGGUGCGAGCGUUGUCCGGAAUUAUUGGGCGUAAAGGGCUCGUAGGCGGUUUGUCGCGUCGGGAGUGAAAACCAGGUGCUUAACACCUGGCUUGCUUUCGAUACGGGCAGACUAGAGGUAUUCAGGGGAGAACGGAAUUCCUGGUGUAGCGGUGAAAUGCGCAGAUAUCAGGAGGAACACCGGUGGCGAAGGCGGUUCUCUGGGAAUGACCUGACGCUGAGGAGCGAAAGCGUGGGGAGUAAACAGG
rnacentral:rRNA from 1 species